GUUGAAGAUAUUCAUAUUAUUAUUAUUGGCAAUAGAUGGGAAGUCACAUAUGGGCUUUCAUUUGGUGCCAUGACCUUUGACCUUGAAAGGUCAAGUGAAUGUCAGUUAAUGUCUUUAAAAGUGAAUUUGA